rnacentral:rRNA from 1 species
UACGUAGGGUGCAAGCGUUAAUCGGAAUUACUGGGCGUAAAGCGUGCGCAGGCGGUUAUGUAAGACAGAUGUGAAAUGCCCGGGCUAACCUGGGAACUGCAUUUGUGACUGCAUGGCUUGAGUGCGGCAGAGGAGACUGGAAUUCCUGGUGUAGCAGUGAAAUGCGUAGAUAUCAGGAGGAACACCGAUGGCGAAGGCAGGUCUCUGGGCUGACACUGACGCUCAUGCACGAAAGCGUGGGGAGCAAACAGG